rnacentral:rRNA from 1 species
UACAGAGGUCCCGAGCGUUGUUCGGAUUCACUGGGCGUAAAGGGUGCGUAGGUGGUGGAGUAAGUUUGAUGUGAAAUCUCCGGGCUUAACCCGGAAACUGCAUUGAAUACUAUUCCGCUGGAGGUUUGGAGGGGGGACUGGAAUUCCUGGUGUAGCGGUGAAAUGCGUAGAUAUCAAGAGGAACACCUGAGGUGAAGACGGGUUGCUGGGCCAACACUGACGCUGAUGCGCGAAAGCCAGGGGAGCAAACGGG